rnacentral:rRNA from 1 species
GUCUACAGCCGUGCCACCCUGAACAAGCCCAAUCCUGUCUGAUCUUGGAAGCUAAGCAGGGUUAGUACUUGGAUGGGAGACUUGUAGGAAACCAAGUGCUGUAGGUG